UCGAAUAAUAGGAGAAUGAAAAAAAACGUUAUAUUGUUUCGCAUAUUACAGGAUUCGAACCUAUGCUGAAUAAUAUCAA
rnacentral:tRNA from 1 species